rnacentral:rRNA from 1 species
UUUUAUUCCUACGGGAGGCAGCAGUGGGGAAUAUUGCACAAUGGGCGCAAGCCUGAUGCAGCAACGCCGCGUGAGGGAUGACGGCCUUCGGGUUGUAAACCUCUUUUAGCAGGGAAGAAGCGAGAGUGACGGUACCUGCAGAAAAAGCACCGGCUAACUACGUGCCAGCAGCCGCGGUAAUACGUAGGGUGCAAGCGUUAUCCGGAAUUAUUGGGCGUAAAGAGCUCGUAGGCGGUUUGUCGCGUCUGCUGUGAAAUUCCGAGGCUCAACCUCGGGCUUGCAGUGGGUACGGGCAGACUAGAGUGCGGUAGGGGAGAUUGGAAUUCCUGGUGUAGCGGUGGAAUGCGCAGAUAUCAGGAGGAACACCGAUGGCGAAGGCAGAUCUCUGGGCCGUAACUGACGCUGAGGAGCGAAAGGGUGGGGAGCAAACAGGCUUAGAUACCCUGGUAGUCCACCCCGUAAACGUUGGGAACUAGUUGUGGGGUCCUUUCCACGGAUUCCGUGACGCAGCUAACGCAUUAAGUUCCCCGCCUGGGGAGUACGGCCGCAAGGCUAAAACUCAAAGGAAUUGACGGGGACCCGCACAAGCGGCGGAGCAUGCGGAUUAAUUCGAUGCAACGCGAAGAACCUUACCAAGGCUUGACAUACACGAGAACGGGCCAGAAAUGGUCAACUUCUGGC